CCAUCCCUCGCGAUGGAGCUGCUCCCCGGGAAGCCGCCUGCGCUCUGCGGCCGGGCGGCUCUUGUCAGGCUGCCAGAGGAGGCCGGAGCAGCGUCACAUGCAGCAAAGUUUUACAAGGCGAGCGAGCGGCUGGGGAGAGGGACGGGAGAGGGACCGACACCGCACGGACGCGCACGCGGAGGAACCUCCAGGCUCCCUCCAGCUCUCAUCCCAACGCUGAUUUUUUUUUCCUUUCGUCCUUUUUUGCUUUUGUUUUUGGAAGAACAAAGACUUUGGGCUCUGAGGGACUCCGGACUGUGCGCUCUCCUCCCGCUCGUGGACUGGAAUAAUUCAGGAGCUGGGAGAAUUAAAAAAGACGAGGCGCGGGGGCGAACGGUUCAGAAACGGGGCGGGCGUGAUGGAUUUUGAGAGCUACGCUAAUCUCCCCGUUUCCCGUGCAUUGUCCUGCCGACUUGGAGCUAUUCUUUUCCCAUUUGAUUUCUCUUCCCCUCCUUUCCCUUCGUGUUGGGUUUG